CCUACGGGAGGCAGCAGUGGGGAAUCUUGGUCAAUGGGCGCAAGCCUGAACCAGCGACGCCGCGUGAGUGAUGAAGGCCUUCGGGUUGUAAAGCUCUGUGGGGAGGGACGAAAGACUGAGGUCUAAUAGGCUUCAGGUUGACGGUACCUCCUUAGCAAGCACCGGCUAACUCUGUGCCAGCAGCCGCGGUAAU
rnacentral:rRNA from 1 species